UACGUAGGCAGCGAGCGUUGUUCGGAGUUACUGGGCGUAAAGAGUGCGUAGGCGGUUUUCUAAGUUUGGUGUGAAAUCUCCCGGCUCAACUGGGAGGGUGCGCCGAAGACUGGAAGGCUUGAGUAUGGGAGAGGACAGCGGAAUUCCUGGUGUAGCGGUGAAAUGCGCAGAUAUCAGGAGGAACACCAAUGGCGAAGGCAGCACUCUGGGACGUGACUGACGCUGAGACGCGAAAGCGUGGGGAGCAAACAGG
rnacentral:rRNA from 1 species